rnacentral:lncRNA from 1 species
CAUGGCUGUGAGUGAAAGAGAAAAAGAUAAACUACCGUGUCGACCCGAGGCUAAUUCUAGAACUCUAAAUAAUUAAGAACCACAACAAGGAGCCCAGAUCAACCAAUUAAACAUAAUUCACACCUUAAGAUCUGAAAAACAAAUAGACAACUAUGUUGGUAUACCUAAAGAGCAAGAUGACCCAUUGUCUAAACCACCUCAUGAGCAAGUGAUCAAUC